UACGAAGGGUGCAAGCGUUAAUCGGAAUUACUGGGCGUAAAGCGCGCGUAGGUGGUUCAGUAAGUUGGAAGUGAAAUCCCCGGGCUCAACCUGGGAACUGCUUUCAAAACUGCUGAGCUAGAGUACGGUAGAGGGUGGUGGAAUUUCCUGUGUAGCGGUGAAAUGCGUAGAUAUAGGAAGGAACACCAGUGGCGAAGGCGACCACCUGGACUGAUACUGACACUGAGGAGCGAAAGCGUGGGGAGCAAACAGG
rnacentral:rRNA from 1 species